rnacentral:rRNA from 1 species
UACGUAGGGAGCGAGCGUUGUCCGGAAUUACUGGGUGUAAAGGGAGUGUAGGCGGGAGCGCAAGUUGAAUGUCAAAUCCAUCGGCUCAACCGGUGGCCGCGUUCAAAACUGUGUUUCUUGAGUGAAGUAGAGGCCGGCGGAAUUCCUAGUGUAGCGGUGAAAUGCGUAGAUAUUAGGAAGAACACCAGUGGCGAAGGCGAUUCUCUGGACUGUAACUGACGCUGAGGCUCGAAAGCGUGGGUAGCAAACAGGAUUAGAUACCCUGGUAGU